rnacentral:rRNA from 1 species
AUUGAACGCUGGCGGCAUGCCUUACACAUGCAAGUCGAACGGCAGCACGGGAGCAAUCCUGGUGGCGAGUGGCGAACGGGUGAGUAUUAUAUCGGAACGUGCCCAGUCGUGGGGGAUAACGCAGCGAAAGCUGUGCUAAUACCGCAUACGAUCUAAGGAUGAAAGCGGGGGAUCGCAAGACCUCGCGCGAUUGGAGCGGCCGAUAUCAGAUUAGCUAGUUGGUGGGGUAAAGGCCCACCAAGGCGACGAUCUGUAGCUGGUCUGAGAGGACGACCGGCCACACUGGAACUGAGACACGGUCCAGACUCCAACGGGAGGCAGAAGUGGGGAAUUUUGGACAAUGGGCGCAAGCCUGAUCCAGCAAUGCCGCGUGCAGGAUGAAGGCCUUCGGGUUGUAAACUGCUUUUGUACGGAACGAAACGGCCCUUUCUAAUACAGGGGGCUAAUGACGGUACCGUAAGAAUAAGCACCGGCUAACUACGUGCCAGCCGCCGCGGUAACAC